rnacentral:rRNA from 1 species
ACCGGCGAUACCCGAAUGGGGAAACCCAGUGUGACUCGUCACACUAUCAUUAACUGAAUCCAUAGGUUAAUGAGGCGAACCGGGGGAACUGAAACAUCUAAGUACCCCGAGGAAAAGAAAUCAACCGAGAUUCCCCCAGUAGCGGCGAGCGAACGGGGAGGAGCCCAGAGCCUGAAUCAGCAUGUGUGUUAGUGGAAGCGUCUGGAAAGGCGCGCGAUACAGGGUGACAGCCCCGUACACAAAAGCGCAUGUGCUGUGAGCUCGAUGAGUAGGGCGGGACACGUGGUAUCCUGUCUGAAUAUGGGGGGACCAUCCUCCAAGGCUAAAUACUCCUGACUGACCGAUAGUGAACCAGUACCGUGAGGGAAAGGCGAAAAGAACCCCGGCGAGGGGAGUGAAAAAGAACCUGAAACCGUGUACGUACAAGCAGUGGGAGCACAGGUUUACCUGUGUGACUGCGUACCUUUUGUAUAAUG